AACGAACGCUGGCGGCAGGCUUAACACAUGCAAGUCGAGCGCCCCGCAAGGGGAGCGGCAGACGGGUGAGUAACACGUGGGAACAUACCCAUCUCUGCGGAACAACUCCGGGAAACUGGAGCUAAUACCGCAUACGCCCUUCGGGGGAAAGAUUUAUCGGAGAUGGAUUGGCCCGCGUUGGAUUAGCUAGUUGGUGGGGUAAAGGCCUACCAAGGCGACGAUCCAUAGCUGGUCUGAGAGGAUGAUCAGCCACAUUGGGACUGAGACACGGCCCAAACUCCUACGGGAGGCAGCAGUGGGGAAUAUUGGACAAUGGGCGCAAGCCUGAUCCAGCCAUGCCGCGUGGGUGAUGAAGGCCUUAGGGUUGUAAAGCUCUUUCACCGAUGAAGAUAAUGACGGUAGUCGGAGAAGAAGCCCCGGCUAACUUCGUGCCAGCCGCCGCAGUAAUAC
rnacentral:rRNA from 1 species